UCCUCAGGUAGGAUAAUCCUUACCUGUUCCUCUAGUCAGAGGGCAGAUAGAAUAUGAUGAUUGGAGUUUGCAAAUUCCUGAUAAAUGUCUCUGCAUGAUGAGGGGUUACAACACUCCUUAUUGCUCCUAAUGAU